UGGCUCAGGAUGAACGCCGGCGGUGUGCCUAAUACAUGCAAGUCGAACGCGUUGGUCCAAUUGACAACUGGUGCUUGCACCGGUUAGAUUUUGGUCGCCAACGAGUGGCGGACGGGUGAGUAACACGUAGGCAACCUGCCCAGAAGCGGGGGACAACAUUUGGAAACAGAUGCUAAUACCGCAUAACAACGUUGUUCGCAUGAACAACGUUUCAAAGAUGGCCUCUGGCUAUCACUUCUGGAUGGACCUGCGGUGCAUUAGCUUGUUGGUGGGGUAGUGGCCUACCAAGGCGAUGAUGCAUAGCCGAGUUGAGAGACUGAUCGGCCACAAUGGGACUGAGACACGGCCCAUACUCCUACGGGAGGCAGCAGUAGGGAAUCUUCCACAAUGGGCGCAAGCCUGAUGGAGCAACACCGCGUGAGUGAAGAAGGGUUUCGGCUCGUAAAGCUCUGUUGUUAAAGAAGAACAUGCGUGAGAGUAACUGUUCACGCAUUGACGGUAUUUAACCAGAAAGUCACGGCUAACUACGUGCCAGCAGCCGCGGUAAUACGUAGGUGGCAAGCGUUAUCCGGAUUUAUUGGGCGUAAAGAGAGUGCAGGCGGUUUACUAAGUCUGAUGUGAAAGCCUUCGGCUUAACCGGAGAAGGGCAUCGGAAACUGGCUAACUUGAGUGCAGAAGAGGGUAGUGGAACUCCAUGUGUAGCGGUGGAAUGCGUAGAUAUAUGGAAGAACACCAGUGGCGAAGGCGGCUACCUGGUCUGUAACUGACGCUGAGACUCGAAAGCAUGGGUAGCGAACAGGAUUAGAUACCCUGGUAGUCCAUGCCG
rnacentral:rRNA from 1 species